rnacentral:rRNA from 1 species
AGUCGAACGGCAGCGCGGGAGCAAUCCUGGCGGCGAGUGGCGAACGGGUGAGUAAUACAUCGGAACGUGCCCAAUCGUGGGGGAUAACGCAGCGAAAGCUGUGCUAAUACCGCAUACGAUCUACGGAUGAAAGCAGGGGAUCGCAAGACCUUGCGCGAAUGGAGCGGCCGAUGGCAGAUUAGGUAGUUGGUGAGGUAAAGGCUCACCAAGCCUUCGAUCUGUAGCUGGUCUGAGAGGACGACCAGCCACACUGGGACUGAGACACGGCCCAGACUCCUACGGGAGGCAGCAGUGGGGAAUUUUGGACAAUGGGCGAAAGCCUGAUCCAGCCAUGCCGCGUGCAGGAUGAAGGCCUUCGGGUUGUAAACUGCUUUUGUACGGAACGAAACGGCCUUUUCUAAUAAAGAGGGCUAAUGACGGUACCGUAAGAAUAAGCACCGGCUAACUACGUGCCAGCAGCCGCGGUAAUACGUAGGGUGCAAGCGUUAAUCGGAAUUACUGGGCGUAAAGCGUGCGCAGGCGGUUAUGUAAGACAGUUGUGAAAUCCCCGGGCUCAACCUGGGAACUGCAUCUGUGACUGCAUGGCUAGAGUACGGUAGAGGGGGAUGGAAUUCCGCGUGUAGCAGUGAAAUGCGUAGAUAUGCGGAGGAACACCGAUGGCGAAGGCAAUCCCCUGGACCUGUACUGACGCUCA